rnacentral:rRNA from 1 species
CGAAGGUGGCAAGCGUUACUCGGAAUUACUAGGCGUAAAGGGCAGGUAGGUGGUUUGGUAAGUCUGUUGUGAAAGCUCCUGGCUUAACUGGGAGAGGUCAACGGAUACUGCCGGACUUGAGUAUGGGAGAGGUUACUGGAAUUCCCGGUGUAGCGGUGAAAUGCGCAGAGAUCGGGAGGAACACCAAUGGCGAAAGCAGGUAACUGGACCAUUACUGACACUCAGCUGCGAAAGCUAGGGGAGCAAACAGGAUUAGAUACCCUGGUAGUCCUAGCCGUAAACGAUGCACAUUAGACGUGAGGGGUAUCGACCCCCUUCGUGUCGACGCUAACGCAUUAAAUGUGCCGCCUGGGGAGUACGGCCGCAAGGUUG